UUAGACGAAGACUUAGUGGCGGACUGGUGAGUAACACGUGAGCAACCUACCUUUAAGAGAGGAAUAACAACGAGAAAUCGUUGCUAAUACCGCAUAAAGCAUUAGCUUCGCAUGAAGCAAAUGCCAAAGGAGUAAUCCGCUUAAAGAUGGGUUCGCGGCUGAUUAGCUAGUUGGUGUGGUGACGGCAUACCAAGGCGAUGAUCAGUAGCCGAGCUGAGAGGCACAACGGCCACAUUGGGACUGAGAUACGGCCCAGACUCC
rnacentral:rRNA from 1 species